rnacentral:rRNA from 1 species
UGGGGAAUAUUGGACAAUGGGGGAAACCCUGAUCCAGCAAUGCCGCGUGAGUGAAGAAGGCCUUAGGGUUGUAAAACUCUUUCAGUGGUGACGAUGAUGACGGUAGCCACAGAAGAAGCCCCGGCUAACUCCGUGCCAGCAGCCGCGGUAAUACGGAGGGGGCUAGCGUUGUUCGGAUUUACUGGGCGUAAAGCGCACGUAGGCGGCGGACUUAGUCAGAGGUGAAAGGCCUGGGCUCAACCUGGGAACUGCCUUUGAUACUGGUUCGCUGGAGUCCGGGAGAGGGUAGCGGAAUUCCCAGUGUAGAGGUGAAAUUCGUAGAUAUUGGGAAGAACACCGGUUGCGAAGGCGGCUACCUGGCCCGGUACUGACGCUGAGGUGCGAAAGCGUGGGGAGCAAACAGGAUUAGAUACCCGUGUAGUCC